ACUGAGAGAGAGAGACAGCCAGUCCAGAGACUGAGAGAGAGACAGCCAGUCCAGAGACUGAGAGAGAGACAGCCAGUCCAGAGACUGAGAGAGAGACAGCCAGUCCAGAGACUGAGAGAGAGACAGCCAGUCCAGAGACUGAGAGAGAGACAGCCAGUCCAGAGACUGAGAGAGAGACAGCCAGUCCAGAGACUGAGAAAAAGAGACAGCAAGACUGAGAGAAAGAGACAGCCAGGCCAAAAAAAGAGA